UGGCGAACGGGUGAGUAAUACAUCGGAACGUGUCCUGUAGUGGGGGAUAGCCCGGCGAAAGCCGGAUUAAUACCGCAUACGAUCUACGGAAGAAAGCGGGGGAUCGCAAGACCUCGCGCUAUAGGGGCGGCCGAUGGCAGAUUAGCUAGUUGGUGGGGUAAAGGCCUACCAAGGCGACGAUCUGUAGCUGGUCUGAGAGGACGACCAGCCACACUGGGACUGAGACACGGCCCAGACUCCUACGGGAGGCAGCAGUGGGGAAUUUUGGACAAUGGGGGAAACCCUGAUCCAGCAAUGCCGCGUGUGUGAAGAAGGCCUUCGGGUUGUAAAGCACUUUUGUCCGGAAAGAAAACCUUUGGGCUAAUACCCUGAGGGGAUGACGGUACCUGAGGAAUCAGCAUCGGCUAACUCCGUGCCAGCAGUCGCGGUAAUACGGAGGAUGCAAGCGUUAUCCGGAAUGAUUGGGCGUAAAGCGUCCGCAGGUGGCUGUCCAAGUCUGCUGUCAAAGCUCAGGGCUCAACCCUGGAAAGGCGGUGGAAAC
rnacentral:rRNA from 1 species